CCUACGGGGUGCACCAGGCGCGAAAACUUUACAAUGCAGGAAACUGUGAUAAGGGAACCCCGAGUGCCCGUACACGCGGGCUGUCUGGGUGUUUAAAAUGCACCCAAAGAAAGGGCCGGGCAAGACCGGUGCCAGCCGCCGCGGUAAUACCGGCGGCUCGAGUGGUGACCACUUUUAUUGGGCUUAAAGCGUUCGUAGCUGGACUGUUAAGUCUCUUGGGAAAUCCGUCGGCUCAACCGACGGGCGUCUAAGAGAUACUGGCAGUCUUGGGACCGGGAGAGGUAAGAGGUACUCCGGGGGUAGGAGUGAAAUCCUGUAAUCCCCGGGGGACCACCUGUGGCGAAGGCGUCUUACCAGAACGGCUCCGACAGUGAGGAACGAAAGCUGGGGGAGCGAACCGGAUUAGAUACCCCCGUAGUC
rnacentral:rRNA from 1 species